UACGGGAGGCAGCAGUGGGGAAUAUUGCACAAUGGGCGCAAGCCUGAUGCAGCCAUGCCGCGUGUAUGAAAAAGGCCUUCGGGUUGUAAAGUACUUUCAGUCGUGAGGAAGGUGUUAAGGUUAAUAACCUUAGCAAUUGACGUUAGCGACAGAAGAAGCACCGGCUAACUCCGUGCCAGCAGCCGCGGUAAUACGGAGGGUGCGAGCGUUAAUCGGAAUUACUGGGCGUAAAGGGCACGCAGGCGGUUAAUUAAGUUGGAUGUGAAAUCCCCGGGCUUAACCUGGGAAUGGCAUUCAAGACUGGUUAGCUAGAGUCUUGUAGAGGGGGUAGAAUUCCAUGUGUAGCGGUGAAAUGCGUAGAGAUGUGGAGGAAUACCGGUGGCGAAGGCGGCCCCUGGACAAAGACUGACGCUCAUGUGCGAAAGCGUGGGGAGCGAAACAGGGAUUAGGAUACC
rnacentral:rRNA from 1 species